UACGUAGGGGGCAAGCGUUAUCCGGAUUUACUGGGUGUAAAGGGGAGCGCAGGGCGGUAUGGCAAGUCAGAUGUGAAAACCCAGGGCUCAACCCUGGGGACUGCAUUUGAAACUGCCCAUACUGGAGUGCCGGGAGAGGUAAGUGGAAAUUCCUAGUGUAGCGGUGAAAUGCGUAGAUAUUAGGAGGAACACCAGUGGCGAAGGCGGCUUACUGGACGGUAACUGACGCUGAGGCUCGAAAGCGUGGG
rnacentral:rRNA from 1 species